UGGGGAAUAUUGCACAAUGGACGGAAGUCUGAUGCAGCAACGCCGCGUGCGGGAUGACGGCCUUCGGGUUGUAAACCGCUUUUUCUCAUGACGAAGUUUUUUGACGGUAGUGGGGGAAGAAGCACCGGCUAACUACGUGCCAGCAGCCGCGGUGAUACGUAGGGUGCGAGCGUUGUCCGGAAUUAUUGGGCGUAAAGAGCUUGUAGGCGGUUUGUCGCGUCGAUAGUGCAAACUCAGUGCUUAACGCUGAGCCUGCUGUUGAUACGGGCAGACUAGAGGAAGGUAGGGGAGAAUGGAAUUCCCGGUGGAGCGGUGGAAUGCGCAGAUAUCGGGAGGAACACCGGUGGCGAAGGCGGUUCUCUGGGCCUUUCCUGACGCUGAGAAGCGAAAGCGUGGGGAGCGAACA
rnacentral:rRNA from 1 species